rnacentral:snRNA from 2 species
AGCUUUGCGCAGUGGGCAAUAUCGUAGCCAAUGAGGUUUAUCCAAGGCGCAAUUAUUGCUAAAAGAAUCCUGAUUAAACAUACUUCUAUAAAAAUAAACAGGUGUUGGGGGCACCUGGGUAGCACCUAGGUG